rnacentral:lncRNA from 1 species
GGCGUUGUUCCCAAGGGUAAGAUUUUUGAUUUCUUCUAAAAGUGCGGCGCGAGUCUUGCGCCCGUGACCUGUGCUCACAAUGGACUUCCGCUGCGACGUACGUUGAGUGACCGUGGGCCGCGGACCGCGGACCCGGGAUCGCAGAUUGUACACCUUCGGUGGUUGACUCAUGGCCGGUAGGUGGUUUUGUUAGUUGAAAAUAUUAAUUUGGAAUUAAAACUUUAA